AUUUCUUGAUUGUUUUUUUGUCGUUCUUUUUGAGCAAUGGGUCGUUCCAGAAAAGAUCCAUACCCCCCCUACGGAGGAAAUUUUUGCUGUCCGAAGGGGGAGGGAGGAAAAAUGUCUUAAGAUGUCCGAAGGGGGGGGAGAGGAAAAAUGUCUUAGGAUGUCCGAAGGGGGGGAGAGGAAUGUGGAUAUGUUUGUCUGAAGGUUUGAGACUGUGAUAAAGCCAUGUGAUCGGCGAUUAUAAUGAGCACGCAAUUUUUAUCGGCUAUAUAUAUGCAGCUCUUGAACAGCGGAACGUUUAUGUAACAGCAAUAAUUAUACAUCCACGUAACUUGUAAGCAAAAUAAGCGGACCACUUUUGCAUGCAUGGCCACCAAAAACUAACUCGCUGUAACAGCGUAUCCUGCAUGUUGAGAAUGAGUCGAAAAUUGACACGCUUUAUUUAUAUAGUUUGCAGAUUUCGUUCGCCAUAUAUAAGUUUGAAUUAUUCAAGUGUUAAAAAUAAUAGUUAUUAAACUGUUGCUCGAAUUAAGAGACUGCUAUGUGAACUGAACUCAAAACAAUUUGUUGCGACCAGCGAGCGAGCACCAGCGAGCGAGCUGGGAGCAUCCUAAUCUGUUUCUGUGCGUAGAAAAUUUAAAUAUACUGCUGAGUUCGGAUUAGCCCCGGCUCAAGAUUCACCGAUUCACCUCGGCUUGCAUUCCAUAUUUGGAACAUAUUUCCAUAUUUGGAAGACCGCAUGGAACGGUAUUUCCGCCCAGUGUUUUAUUGGUCUUUAUUUACUCAUCGAUACUGAUGCAAUUUUAUACAUGUACCUUUAACUUUUGUUCAUCAAAUUGUACAUCAAAUGAAGCUUAACUUAGCAUCUACUAACUGUUGUAAGUCUGUUAUUGAAGACAGAUUUAAAUAAUCAAAAAGAUUAAAUGCUGUGCGUGAGGAUGUUGUGAUGUAUACAAAGAA